rnacentral:lncRNA from 1 species
UGAAGCACCAACUUGAGUUGUCAUAGAUCUUUAGCUCUUUGAUGGUUAAAUCAAAGUAGGGCUAGAGCACCGAGCUCUGAUACCACUUGUUGUCCAGUUAUGCAACCCAAGAGAGGGGGAUGAAUUGGAUUUUUAAAAUUUUAAAGUUAAUUUAGAACCACAAGGAUAAAGUAAUAAUAAGCAAGUUAUAUGUAGUAAGUGAUUUAAGCAAGGUAUAGAAAUAAGUGUUGGAAAAUGUGUCCCAAAAACUAAUUGUCAGCCUAUUGAUAGUUGAGC